rnacentral:lncRNA from 1 species
GGGCGAAUAGUGUUGGAUACUUGUUUUUGGCUUCCUCUUCCCCUUCCCAAGUGGCCUCUUCUAUUUCAUGAUUAUUCCAUUAUAUUUUGACCAAUUGAAUUUCUUUGUUCCUUAGUUUAUGCACCUUUCGAUCCAAUAUCCUAAUUGGUAGCUCUUCAUAGGAUAUGUCCUUUUGUACUUCCAUGGACUGAUAGUUCACUACAUGAUUAGGAUCAUGCACAUAUUUCUUGAUCAUUGAUACAUGGAACACGUUGUGCACUGCCGAUAACCCAGGUGGGAGAGCUAACCAAUAGGCUACAUUUCC